rnacentral:lncRNA from 1 species
AGAUAAUCUUAUAUUCUAUUGAAUAUUAUUAACGUAACUCACGAAAGGGUCAGGUGCGGAGGGUAUAUAAUUAUAUCCAGAUUAUCUUUUAAUAAAAUGUAUUGCUAUUCAAAAGACAAUCUCAUUCGAUUCAAAUAAAAUUGUUAAAAAAAAUAACCACUUUUCCGCGAUAGAAAUAACAUAACAAAUAGAAGAAAAAAAAACAUACCCCUCC